rnacentral:rRNA from 1 species
GUGUCAGCAGCCGCGGUAAUACGAGUGCCCCGAGCGUUAUCCGGAAUCAUUGGGCGUAAAGGGUGUGUAGGUGGUCAUAUUAGUCUUCUGUUAAAUUCUUCGGCUUAACCGGGGGCAUGCAGGGGAAACGGUAUGACUAGAGGAUGCGAGAGGUGUGUGGAACUCUAAGUGUAGGGGUGAAAUCCGUUGAUAUUUAGGGGAACACCAAAAGCGAAGGCAGCACACUGGCGCAUUCCUGACACUGAGACACUAAAGCGUGGGUAGCGAAUGGGAUUAGAUACCCGCGUAGUCC